AGUAAAGUCAGCUAAAAAAGCUUUUGGGCCCAUACCCCAACCAUGUUGGUUAAAAUCCUUCCUUUACUA
rnacentral:tRNA from 1 species